CUUGAAAGGAGCAAUCCGCUUUGGAAUUGGGAUAUGGUCUAUUAGCUAGUUGGCGGGAUAAAAGCCCCCCAAGGCGAUGAUAGAUAGCUGGAUUGAGAAGUUGAACAGCCACAAUGGGAUUGAGAUACGGCCCAUAUUCCUACGGGAAGCAGCAGUAGGGGAUCUUCCACAAUGGGCGAAAGCCUGAUGGAGCAAUACCAUGUGAACGACGAAGGUCUUAUUGAUUGUAAAGUUCUUUUAAGAGGGAUAAAACAAGAUGGUACCUCUUGAAUAAGUGACAGCAAACUAUGUGCCAGCAGCUGCGGUAAUACAUAGGUCGCGAGCGUUAUUCGGAUUUAUUGGGCGUAAAGAGAGCGCAGGCGGAUGGAUAAGUUCUGUGUGAAAGGUAGCCGCUCAACGGUUACUUGCGCCGAAUACUGUCUGUCUAGAAUACGGUAGGGAGGUUCGGAAUUGAAUGUGGAGCGGUGGAAUGUGUAGAUAUAUUCAAGAACACCAGAGGCGAAGGCGGAACCUUAGGCCGAUAUUGACGCUUAGGCUCGAAAGUGUGGGGAGCAAAUGGGAUUAGAUACCCCAGUAGUCCACACCGUAAACGAUGGAUAUUUGAUGUUGGGAGUUGAGAGUCUCAGCGUUGUAGCUUACGUGUUAAAUAUCCCGCCUGGGUAGUACAUAUGCAAAUAUGAAACUCAAAGGAAUUGACGGGGACCUGAACAAGUGGUGGAACAUGUUGCUUAAUUCGAUAAUACACGAAAAACCUUACCAAGAUUUGACAUCCCCCGCAAAGGUAUAGAAAUAUACUCGGAGGUUAUCGGGGUGACAGGUGGUGCAUGGUUGUCGUCAGCUCGUGUCUUGAGAUGUUUGGUUAAGUCCCGCAACGAGCGCAACCCUACUCUCUAGUUAGUAUGUUUAGAGAGACUGAACAGAAAUGUAUAGGAAGGAUAGGAUCACGUCAAAUCAUCAUGCCCCUUAUGUCUUGGGCUGCAAACGUGUUACAAUGGCUAGUACAGCGUGCUUGCAAACCAGCGAUGGUAAGCCAAUCACUAAAAGCUAGCCCCAGUUCGGAUUAAAGGCUGCAAUUCGCCUUUAUGAAGUUGGAAUCACUAGUAAUCC
rnacentral:rRNA from 1 species